AUGAAAGGGUUCCUACCUGCCAAGGCGGAGCUCGCAAGGAGACAUAUUGGCGAGGAUGUGAUUUGGGCAGUGUGUGGACAUGAGGAUGAGACAUUGUUUCAUUCUUUGGUUACCUGUACACAUGCACAAGUGUUCUGGGCAGAGGCACUCAGAUUUUUGGGCUGUAACCUCCCUACGAUGCUACAUCUGACUUGGACAAGGGAUCUCCUCGACCCCAGCUUCAUCGCAAAGGAGGAUGCAGCCGUUGUAAUCUCGGUGAUGUGGGCAAUAUGGAGCGACCGCAACAAGUACACUCAUGGGGAGCGGCAGUACCAGCCGAUCAAGUCUAUGGAGCUAAUACAGGAGCACCUGAGAGCUCUGAAUAUACCAGCCAACGACAAGGUCGUACAGCGGCAGAAAGAAAGGUGGAAGGCCUCGGCAAAAGGUGUGCUGAAGCAAAAUGUGGAUGCUGCAACUGAUGCUAUGGUACACAGAGCUGGGACGGCGGUAGUGGCAAGAAAUCACAAAGGAGAGUUGCAGGUAGGGAGAUAUGUCUCAUAUGAGGGGCUCACUGAUCCAUAUGUGUGCGAAGCAAUGGGGUGCAGAGAUGCUAUGCUGCUAGCUAUGGACAGAGGAUGGCCUAGGGUGGAGAUCAUAUCAGAUUGCAAACCAGUAGUAGAUGACUGA
rnacentral:rRNA from 1 species